GAUGAACGCUGGCGGCGUGCUUAACACAUGCCAGUCGAACGGAAAGGCCCAAGCUUGCUUGGGUACUCGAGUGGCGAACGGGUGAGUAACACGUGGGUGAUCUGCCCUGCACUUCGGGAUAAGCCUGGGAAACUGGGUCUAAUACCGGAUAGGACCACUUCUUGGAUGUUGUGGUGGACAGUUUUCUCGGUGUGGGAUGAGCUCGCGGCCUAUCAGCUUGUUGGUGGGGUAAUGGCCUACCAAGGCGUCGACGGGUAGCCGGCCUGAGAGGGUGUACGGCCACAUUGGGACUGAGAUACGGCCCAGACUCCUACGGGAGGCAGCAGUGGGGAAUAUUGCACAAUGGGCGCAAGCCUGAUGCAGCGACGCCGCGUGGGGGAUGACGGCCUUCGGGUUGUAAACUCCUUUCGCUAGGGACGAAGCGUUUUUGUGACGGUACCUGGAGAAGAAGCACCGGCUAACUACGUG
rnacentral:rRNA from 1 species